GGAGUUAUAGCUCAAUGGUAGAGCACUUGCCUAGCAUGUGCUAAGGCCUUGCUUGGGUUCAAUCCCCAGCAUCACCC
rnacentral:tRNA from 1 species